AACGAACGCUGGCGGCAUGCCUAACACAUGCAAGUCGAACGAGACCUUCGGGUCUAGUGGCGCACGGGUGCGUAACGCGUGGGAACCUGCCUUUAGGUUCGGAAUAACUCAGAGAAAUUUGAGCUAAUACCGGAUGAUGUCUUCGGACCAAAGAUUUAUCGCCUUUAGAUGGGCCGGCGUUGGAUUAGCUAGUUGGUGGGGUAAAGGCCUACCAAGGCGACGAUCCAUAGCUGGUCUGAGAGGAUGAUCAGCCACACUGGGACUGAGACACGGCCCAGACUCCUACGGGAGGCAGCAGUGGGGAAUAUUGGACAGUGGGCGAAAGCCUGAUCCAGCAAUGCCGCGUGAGUGAUGAAGGCCUUAGGGUUGUAAAGCUCUUUUACCCGAGAUGAUAAUGACAGUAUCGGGAGAAUAAGCUCCGGCUAACUCCGUG
rnacentral:rRNA from 1 species